rnacentral:tRNA from 2 species
UCGGUAGACGCUACGGACUUAAAUCCGUCGACUUUAGAAAUCGUGAGGGUUCAAGUCCCUCUAUCCCCA